rnacentral:rRNA from 1 species
AUGACAUCCAUGCUGAUGUUGAUUUCUUGGGAGCUCUGGAAGGAACGUAACGCGAGGGUCUUCCGCAACGACGCGACCCCCUCCAUGUUGAUCGUGCGUAACAUCAAAGAAGAGAUUAAAUUGUGGCUGUUAGCGGGCGCUAAGCAUCUGGGUUCUGUAAUGCUGCGAGAGUAA